UGGCUUGAGCAUAUCAUCUAUUACAAGAUUAUUUGUUAAUAAGUAUAAUAUCUAAAAUAAUAACAAACAAGCACACGCAGAAAAAAUAAGACACAAUAAUUUAUAUGGUUCAGCCUUUGACCUAUAUCUACAAGCAAAGAUGGGGACAAAUUUUACUAUAUCAAAAAAAUAUGGAGUACAAAGAGUAUGCGAUAGCUCAAAUAACAAAAGAUGG
rnacentral:lncRNA from 1 species